GUGAAAUGACUUGAGAGGUGU
rnacentral:snRNA from 1 species